GUGCCAGCAGCCGCGGUAAUACGUAGGUGGCAAGCGUUGUCCGGAUUUAUUGGGUUUAAAGGGUGCGUAGGCGGUCUUGUAAGUCAGUGCUGAAAUAUCCCGGCUUAACCGGGAGGGUGGCAUUGAUACUGCAGGACUUGAGUGAAGUCGAGGUAGGCGGAAUUGACGGUGUAGCGGUGAAAUGCUUAGAUAUCGUCAAGAACACCAAUAGUGUAGACAGCUUACUAGGCUUUAACUGACGCUGAGGCACGAAAGUGUGGGGAUCAAACAGGAUUAGAAACCCUUGUAGUCC
rnacentral:rRNA from 1 species